UGGACGGGGACUUGCAGCUGGUAAUUAAUUUUUUAUAACCAAGACAAAAAAAUAUUUUCAUGGGCCACACGCAACAAAACUUCAACAUUUCCGAAGCAAAUGAUGGAAAUGGUGAUGUACGUGGCCUCUGAAAUAAAUUUCACCCCGUAUAUCCCGUGAUGGCAGAAAUAAACGCGGAUUAUAUGCCGCAGGUCAACCCUUAAUUUACGCAUGCGGCCAGGGCACAAGUUUAUAGCGGCAGCAUAAGAUGGCUGGACACAGGUAAUUAUUUUUCUUGAACGAAAAUACUAUGUGUGGCGUUUGUACGACUAUGCGUACGCAUAAAAUACACAUUGCCUGGUGUCUCAUUCAUAAUAAUGUAUGUGUGCGCGUAUGUGCGUCUGCUUUUGAAUGCUACCUAUCUAUGCGUCGACAUGUGCGUAGAUCCGCAAAUCAUUUUUGCGUUAAAAAAAUAGAUUAUGACAUUGAUGACUCGGCAGAAUGCCUGUUAUUCUUCCUAGCCUCAACAUAGCAAACGUUAGUGAAUCAUUUAUAUCACCCCAAAUCUCUAGAAUCUAACUACUAUAUACGCCGAAAGGAGGAAUCGGUGAAUGCAAUAUAAAUUUGUAUGUGUGCAAGACGUUCGGAA
rnacentral:sRNA from 1 species